rnacentral:rRNA from 1 species
AUGUACAGCUCCUACUCCGCCGCCGCCUUCGCCCUUAGGGCCGCGAAGCCAGCCUAUAGCUCCCAUUCCCCUUAUGCCCCGUCGCACCACUGCAGCCAACAGCACUACGACGGUGACGGUGCUCACCGUGAGCUACUCCCGCUCAACCCUCACCUCUCUCCCCGCUUCCUGCUCGACGGGUACCUCCUCCGCCACUCUGCUCACCUCCUCCUCCUCUCCGCUCGGCUCCAGCCCCCGCCCCCGCCUCCGCCUCAUCCGCCGCACAGCUGCUGCCACCGGCGUGCGGCCGUCCGCUGCUGCUGCAGCGGCGGCGGCGGCGGCGGAAGGUCAUAUGUUCAGCAUGUUACUUGGGGAUUGGAGGGGCGCGGGUACCGAUGCUGCGGGCAGGGCGCUGGACGGUCGGAUCUUGGAGUGGGUUGCCGGCGAUUGAAGGCGCGGGGAUGCGGUUGUGGCAGCUACGGCAGCGGCAGGUUAGGUCUUGGCACUAGCUGUGGACAUGGGGAUACGCCGAGGUUGCUCGGGAGGGCGGUGCGGCAGGAGGUGUGGGAGUAUGAGGGUGGCCAGUGGCCGCACAGAAGUUGUUCGAUGGAAUGCCACAGCGAUUGGGAUGGUGAAGAGGAUGAGGAUCAAUGUGGUCACGCUCAGUGGGAGCGGCCAGGUAAGUCGAGUUUUAGAAGGAAGUGGAAAGAAGAAGAAGAAGAUGAAGAUGAUAGAUGUAGAGAUUGCCGUCGGAGGAAGGGUGUGGAAAAUGAGUACUAUGAUGAAGGCGGGUACAGUGGCCGACGGAGGGAAAUUCGGGAUGUGAAUGGGAUGCAUGACAGGCAUCGGUAUCAUCGGAGGAGGUUGGAGCAGAGGGGUUACAUCGACGAUGAGGAUACAAGGCGAAGAAGCGAUCUGAUGAAAGGGAGCGACAGGAGUGAGUUUGAAUCUGAUGAGGCAAGGAAUGCUGGUGCUAGAAGAUACAGUGAAAAUGACAGGAAAUAUGAUCGGAGAAGAGAAAGAAGGGAUUCUGAAUAUGAGGAUGUGUAUGAUGCUAGAAGAUUGGGAGCUGGCAGGUAUAAUGAGGAUGACCGAAGAUUUGAUCGGAGAACAGGGAGGAUGGAUUUUGAAAUCGACAGUGAGGAUGAUGUGAGAAGAGAUGGCGUUAGAAAUGAUGAUGAAAGAUUUGUUAUUCAGAACACAAGGAGAAAGAAGUAUAUGGAGGAGGAUGAUCAAGAUAUUGCUGAGCGUAAGAACUACUCACAUGGUAGGUCCCAGAGGUCUGCAUCUGCAUUUCAUGAGGAUGAUUCACAGAGAGCUUCGAGUUCAAGGAACACUGUUGAUACAAGAGUUUCAAGGGGGAAUUCAUCCUCGAGGGUGCGGUGGGAUGAUAAUGUAGACCGACGAGCUUCACAGACAUUGGAAGAGAGAGGCCGACGCUAUUCUUCCUCAGUUGGUUUGUCAAAUGAUGAGAAAGAUGAGUACAGUUAUGAUGAUGGACAACUUGUCAGGGUAAGAGAUCAUAGGACAGGAACACAAGAUGUCAAGGUUAUAACCGAGGAUGAUACGAGGUUGAUUUCCAGUUCAAAGAACUCUUCCAUUUUGAAGCACAAUAGCGAUGUGGACCAGCAAGUAGCGGCACAAAAGGAUGAAUCAAAGAGCUCACAGAGGAUAGUGGAGACAUCAGUAAACAGAGGUAACAACGCUGAACUGGAUUCAGAAACACGGAUUAAUCAACUGGAAGAUAGAAGAAACUACAUUGAUAAUAAGUCAUCUUCUCUUCAAAGUUCUGUAAAGAUGGCUAGUGACAGUAGAAGACAAAUUGAUCAGCAUGAUGUGGUGGAUCAGCAGGUUGUCGCACUCACUGAUUCAAGGACAAACACAGAAAAGCUCACAGAUAUAAAGAUGGAUAGUAGUCAACAUGUUAGCAGGGCCUCUCACUCACAGAGAAAUUAUGAGGAAGUCAACCAGAUGGAUAUCGAUGAUAGAUCUACCUCUGUAGAAAAUACAACUCAUAUUACAAGAGACAAAAGGAGGUAUGUAAACCAGCAGGUGAUACAUGAAACGGACAUAGAUGUGCAGAAUGUUACACAUGUUGAUGUUUCCACAAUUCAUGCUAGUGAUAUUUCUGCCUCUAGGAGCUCACAAAAUCAUUCUGAUACUAGAUCAGAUGUAAACUCUAUCUCUAGCAUAAGUCUCAUUGACCGAGCAAGGGGCGAGCAAGAACAAAUCCAUCAAAACAAGGUCAUUGCUGGAGAUAAUACAAUAGUCAGGGGUUCACAGAGUCAUCAUGACACUGGAGUGUAUUGUCAAGUUCACUCGGCUUCAGUUAUUGACAGCACAAAAGAGAUGCAAGAACAAGCGGAACUUACUAAGGCCCGUAUUAACAAUGUUGCUACAACAAGUACUUCAGAAAGCCAUAUCCAAACAAGAAUAUAUGAUCGAUUUCAGCCAUCCUCAUCUGUAAACACUGUUAGUAGUGUGAAGGAACAAAUUGAUCUUACUAAGAUCCAUGCUAGUGACACUGCGGUUGUUAGCAAUACGCAUAAUCGAAGCAACAAUGAAGCUCGUAGGACUUCAGCCCUCAAUAUUGUGGAGGCAAGGGAUAGCCGUGAUGAGAGUGAUCUGCAAAUUACACAAGGUUCUGGUAUAGACAGAAGCAAUCAAGUUGGGACCACAUUUUCCGAAUCCUCUCAGGAUUCUAGAGAAAGACUGACAAGAGUAGAAGAAACCGGGAGAUUAGUGCAGCAUGACACAGUUUUGAACUCGCAGCAUACAGGCACCAGCAGAAUCUCUGAUGACAAAGAUAUUACUAGUUUGGGGAUCGAGAGCACCGAAGAGGCAUCUAUCACUAAUGUAGAUAUGGAGCAAAGAGGAACAAUACUGGGAAGGUCUGAAACUACCGCAAGAGAAAAUAUACAAGGUGGUUCAUCUACCAGAAAGUCUGUCAACGAAAGCGUGUUAGAAUCAGCUGCUCGAUUAGAGAAAUCGUCUACAUUUCAUGUAGGCCAAUUCGUUAGUGAGCUCCAAAGAGGAGUCUCAGAUGCAGAUACUACUUCAACAAAGAAAACCGAGAAGUCCAUACUGGAAGGUACAACGAGAUCUUCAUCCAGGUCCAGAAUGAAGGGACCAUCAGAUGAGGUUUGGGAUGUUCAAAGUACUACUUCUCAAGAGACCUGUAAGACGGCAGAUAAGGAGGAAGGGUUCUCAGCUGAUGGAGGUACCAAUUCAGCCUCUCAGACACCCAAAAGUGAAACUGCUAUUGCUAAAAAGGUUCACAAGUCACUUUGGGCCUAUGUUGCAGACAUAGUCCGUCUUGGUUGGGUUAAGCAUGGUGAAUCUCAUGACUCUACCAGCAAAUCAUUUAGGAAAAGUUCAUCCAGUAAUUCUCAGAGGUCGGAGGGUUGGCUGUCAAGUCAGGGGCAUGAUAAUGACGGCAUUCAAAAGAGAAAUUGGAGUAGCAAACAAAAUGAUCAUUCAUUGAUUAAGUCACACAGUGGAGAAUCAGAAUCUAUAGUAGCAUCAACGCUAAAGGAUGAAAGCUUGCCUACAGGUACACAAGGCUUGCAAAUAUCAGGAGCCGGCAAUGUACCUGAAGUAGGUGGAUCCAAAAGAGACUCCGUACCCAAAAUAACCAAGGAUGAUGUGCAGAUUUCAGGGGAGAGAGCAAAACAGUCUGAAGUGGGUGCAUCACCCAAAGGAAAUACCAUCGGAAGCUCAGCUGAGGAUAGCAUAUCAACUUUGGUAGAUGUCACAGUGGGACAUUCACCUGAACAUGAAGCUGCUAGUUCAUCCGGAAUCUCAACUCAGGGUUCCACUGAAAUUAAUGCUGGAAAAGGAGUCUCAGCCGGCACCUCUUCUACGACCAUCAAAGAUAAGGAAGCUGGUCGCAGUGACGAUGCAGGUAGCUGGAGAUAUGGACCUUCAGUUGCUAUAACACCUUACCAGUUUCCUCAGACCCAGGCAAUGGUACCACAUGAAAAUACCUCAUCUGCUUUCUCAGAAUUAACAGAAUUACCUAGUGGUGGUUCCACUGGGAUGAAAGAGAAGAUUGUUGGGCAUAAGGCCCCUGAAGUUUUAAGAACAGAAGAUAAAGAUGCUGAGCUGAAGAGGAGAAAGAUUCAGAGAAAUAAGCAGGUAUUGAAGGAAACGUUUGAUGAAUGGGAGGAAGCAUACCAGCAUGAUGCUAAACAGAGAAAGACUGAUGAACUAUUCAUGAAGGAGGCUUUACUUGAAGCUCAGAGGGCUGCAGAUAUAUGGGAAGUGCCAGUUGGAGCUGUGCUAGUACAUAAUGGUGAAAUUAUUGCUCGUGGUUGCAAUCUAGUUGAAGAUCUCAGGGAUUCAACUGCACAUGCUGAAAUUGUUUGUAUAAGAGAAGCUUCUAGCAAACUUAAGACGUGGCGCCUGGCGGAUACAACACUUUAUGUGACACUGGAACCUUGUGCAAUGUGUGCUGGUGCUAUUCUUCAAGCAAGAGUUGACACUGUAGUAUGGGGAGCCCCGAACAAGCUUCUUGGAGCCGAUGGAAGCUGGGUUAGGCUUUUCCCUGGAGAUGGGCAAACAAGCACAUUGGAUCCAUCGAACCAGAAGCAAACUGCCGGGCCUGUGCACCCAUUCCAUCCAAAGAUAAUCGUAAGGCGUGGUGUCCUCUCCACUGAGUGCUCAGAGAUAAUGCAGCAGUUCUUCCAGCUGAGGAGGAAGAAGAAGAGGGCAGACUCGCCACCUCGUGCGCACUACUCGGGGCAUCGCCACCAUCCGAUCAAGUUUUUCACCAAGAUGCAACACAUGUUCGGCACCGUUUUCUGUUUAUAG